rnacentral:rRNA from 1 species
CCUACGGGUGGCUGCAGUGGGGAAUUUUGGACAAUGGGGGCAACCCUGAUCCAGCAAUGCCGCGUGUGUGAAGAAGGCCUUCGGGUUGUAAAGCACUUUUGUCCGGAAAGAAAUCGUCCUGGCUAAUAUCCGGGAUGGAUGACGGUACUGGAAGAAUAAGCACCGGCUAACUACGUGCCAGCAGCCGCGGUAAUACGUAGGGUGCGAGCGUUAAUCGGAAUUACUGGGCGUAAAGCGUGCGCAGGCGGUUGUGCAAGACAGAUGUGAAAUCCCCG